AUAUAAUUAACCCUGGAAAGAUAGUCUGCGUAAAAUUUACGCAUGCGUUUUCGAAUAAUUGCUCUAUCUUUCUAAUUAGCGCGAAUCCAUAGCUGUGCGUUUAGGACAUCUCAUUCGUCGUUGGGAGCUGCCGCGUGACGUAAGUGUCAAUAAGAUAUUGAGGCAAAUAUAUAUCACAAUGGGGAGUAUCAAUUGAAACCAACACGAAAUCCUGGCCGCUCUUAUGCAAAGUGAUGACGAGCUUCCGUGUGAGGACACCGACAGUGAAGUAGCGGACCACGUUUAAAGUUUUCUUUUUUUUUAAGUAAAAAUAAAGGAGUUUAAAAAAU